rnacentral:rRNA from 1 species
CCUACGGGAGGCAGCAGUGAGGAAUAUUGGUCAAUGGACGAGAGUCUGAACCAGCCAAGUAGCGUGAAGGAUGACUGCCCUAUGGGUUGUAAACUUCUUUUAUAUGGGAAUAAAAUGUUCCACGUGUGGGAUUUUGUAUGUACCAUAUGAAUAAGGAUCGGCUAACUCCGUGCCAGCAGCCGCGGUAAUACGGAGGAUCCGAGCGUUAUCCGGAUUUAUUGGGUUUAAAGGGAGCGUAGGUGGCUUGUUAAGUCAGUUGUGAAAGUUUGCGGAUCAACCGUAAAAUUGCAGUUGAAACUGGCAGUCUUGAGUACAGUAGAGGUGGGCGGAAUUCGUGGUGUAGCGGUGAAAUGCUUAGAUAUCACGAAGAACUCCGAUUGCGAAGGCAGUUCACUGGACUGCAACUGACACUGAGGCUCGAAAGUGUGGGUAUCAAACAGGAUUAGAUACCCCUGUAGUC